GGGUGGUUGGUCUAGAUGGUAUGAUUCUCGUUUAGGGUCGUUAGCUUUCCUUCACCGGUUAGCUUCUGGCUUACGGGCGGUCCCGGGUUCGAUUCCCGGAUCACCCC